rnacentral:rRNA from 1 species
GACGAACGCUGGCGGCGUGCUUAACAUAUGCAAGUCGAACGGAAAGGCCUCUUUCGGGGGGUACUCGAGUGGCGAACGGGUGAGUAACACGUGAGUAACCUGCCCUUGACUUUGGGAUAACUUCAGGAAACUGGGGCUAACACCGGAUAGGAGCUCCUGCUGCAUGGUGGGGGGUGGAAAGUUUCGGCGGUUGGGGAUGGACUCGCGGCUUAUCAGCUUGUUGGUGGGGUAGUGGCUUACCAAGGCUUUGACGGGUAGCCGGCCUGAGAGGGUGACCGGCCACAUUGGGACUGAGAUACGGCCCAGACUCCUACGGGAGGCAGCAGUGGGGAAUAUUGCACAAUGGGUGGAAGCCUGAUGCAGCAACGCCGUGUGCGGGAUGACGGCCUUCGGGUUGUAAACCGCUUUCGCUCAUGACGAAGCUUUGUGUGACGGUAGUGGGUAAAGAAGCACCGGCUAACUACGUG